rnacentral:rRNA from 1 species
UGGGGAAUCUUGCACAAUGGGGGAAACCCUGAUGCAGCGACGCCGCGUGAGCGAUGAAGCCCUUCGGGGUGUAAAGCUCUUUCGGCAGGGAAGAUUAUGACGGUACCUGCAGAAGCAGCUGCGGCUAACUACGUGCCAGCAGCCGCGGUAAUACGUAGGCAGCGAGCGUUGUUCGGAGUUACUGGGCGUAAAGGGUGUGUAGGCGGUUGUUUAAGUUUGGUGUGAAAUCUCCCGGCUCAACUGGGAGGGUGCGCCGAAUACUGAAUGACUUCGAGUGCGGGAGAGGAGAGUGGAAUUCCUGGUGUAGCGGUGAAAUGCGUAGAUAUCAGGAGGAACACCGGUGGUGUAGACGGCUCUCUGGACCGUAACUGACGCUGAGACACGAAAGCGUGGGUAGCAAACA